AACCUUCUCACGCAUGUUUAAGUAGCUAGCUCACUAGCGUUUUGGUGCAUGUCGCGCUAUGAGUGACAGCAAUCCGCUGAUUAAAGGCAAGUUAGGGGCUUUUCAAGAACUGAGACGACAUGCUGGAAUCGCAGCAGCUCCAUUAUCAUGGGAGUAUAUCAAACAGUGCCGCUCAUACCGCACAGGACCCGUUUGAAUUCAGACCGCUCAAGGUGGAGCCCGACACCCUGUGCGUCUCCCAGGCGGAGGAGCUGGCCAUGCUGAGGGUGCGUGUCCAGCAGCUGGAGAGAGAGAUGGCCCGGCUCGCGGCGGAGAACCACCACCUCAAAGACCUGCUCGUCAAGGAGAUCCCCGGCCUGCUGUCGGCCAUGAGGCAGACUCUGGCCCCCGCCCAGCCCGACCUCCACUGCUCCCUCUCUUCUUCCUCCUCCUCCUCCUCUUCCUCGGGACCCCUGGCCUGCUCCAUGGCCAACGCUGACGGCAGGUACGGACUCAUGCCGUGGCCCGAACCCGGCCCGGAUCCCAUCCCCUCAAUCGCGGAACUGCUUCGGAACAGACACGAGGACAUGGAUGGGCUUGACGGGAUAGACGGGAACAUCGGGAACGGCGUGGACCUGGCAGGCAGCCUGGAGAGUGUUGCGGGUCGGGGCGGCGAGGUGAUGAAGUUCGAGCUGAGCGAUGAGCUGGAGGAGGAGCUGGGUCCGUUCCUCUGUGAGCUCGGACCACGGCGGCCCUCCGUGACCUCAUGUGGGGCGUCGCCAUGCCAACUGGCUGAGAUGAGGACAAGGGGCCGGCCGCCUGGAUGCAACCAGCUGGGAGACCACCGCCACAUGGAACAAGAUGAGGUCUCCCCAGGUUCCGGAGUGUUCUGUGAUGCCAGGGCACUACGGCGAGCCAAUCAGAGUGCGACACCAACAGCGAUGGUCCGGAACCUUCUGGUGGGCGUGUUCGACAAGCACACUCUCCUCAACAGCAACCUGCGUGGAGGCAGCAGUAAAACCUCUCCCUUUCACAAUCACCACGCCCCACUGGACCCCCGCAAGCUCAGCGCCAUCUACGACGCCACACUGGCGCGGUUUCCUUCGGUGAGGAGAGCCCAGAUUGGCAUCAGCAUCAACUCCAAGCUGUCCGAGAUCCGCUUCUACUCCCGACGCGCUUCAGCAGAGAGGAGGGAGAGAGUGAGGGAGAACGACAUGGAGGGAGAGAUGGAGGGAGGGAUGGAGGGAGGGAUGGAGGGAUUGACAUCAGCAUCAACUCCAAGCUGCUCCUAGCUAGGAGACUGGGAGUGUGACCAAAGGAGAGGGAAGAGAUCCAACUCUCCUGUAUUAAACAUGACCGGAAGAAGGAAGAAGAGCACAGCAGCAAAGAGGGGGAGUCACCAGCAUAAAACAUUACUGUAUCCCAAUGUGUGUGUCUGUGUGUGUAUGCCUGUGUGUGUGUGUGUGUGUGUUUGUGUGUGUGUGUGUGUGUGUGUGUGUGUGUGUGUGUGUGUGUGUGUGUGUGUGUGUGUGUGUGUGUGUCUGUGUGUGUGUGUUCUGGACUAGUCAGAGGCAGAUGGGCCUCCCCCUCUGUGUUAGUGUGUGUGUGUGUGUGUGUGUGUGUGUAUAUACUCACCUAUUAAUGAUUCACUGGUAACUAACUGCCACUGCCUCUGGGUGCUGAGCACACGCAUGGCCAUGUGCAGGAAGAGGAAGUCAUGGAAGAAGCACAUGUGGACUGUUUGUGUGGUCACUCACUCAUGACUCACACAUAACUAAUGAACACUAACGCCAGAUGGUGAACACACAUAAGGACAUGGAGGAGGAAGAGGAAGUUAUCGAGGAAGGACAGUGGGAAUAGAACUCGACACAACACCCUCUUGCAGGAACUGUCUCAGCUGUGGCUCAGUAGUUAGGUCCUCUCAGUAGUAGUAGCUGCUAUCCGAGUCGCUGUGUGGCUCAGUCUGUGUUGGGGAGGACUUCCAUUUUCUUCUAUCCUCUCUUCUCUUUUCUUCUCUUCUCCUAAAUUUCCCUCUGGAAUAAUAAAGUAUCCAUCUAUCUAUCUAUCUAUCUAUCU
rnacentral:lncRNA from 1 species